rnacentral:rRNA from 1 species
GGCUCAGGAUGAGCGCUAGCUACAGGCUUAACACAUGCAAGUCGAGGGGCAGCAUUGGGAUAGCUUGCUAUUCAGAUGGCGACCGGCGCACGGGUGAGUAACGCGUAUCCAACCUUCCUGCCAGUAGGGAACAGCCCGGCGAAAGUCGGAUUAAUGCCCUAUGUUCUUCAAUGCGGACAUCUAAGUUGAAGGAAAGAUUCAUCGCUGGCAGAUGGGGAUGCGUCCGAUUAGCUUGCCGGCGGGGUAACGGCCCACCGGGGCGACGAUCGGUAGGGGUUCUGAGAGGAAGGUCCCCCACACUGGUACUGAGACACGGACCAGACUCCUACGGGAGGCAGCAGUGAGGAAUAUUGGUCAAUGGGCGUAAGCCUGAACCAGCCAAGUAGCGUGCAAGGAUGACGGCCCUACGGGUUGUAAACUGCUUUUAUGCGGGGAUAAAGUGCGGCACGUGUGCCGCUUUGCAGGUACCGCAUGAAUAAGGACCGGCUAAUUCCGUGCCAGCCGCCGC